GCAUAUUAUUUCGCUUUCACUUUCAAGCGAGCCUCGAGCUGGGCUGGAGCUGGUCUCUCGGCUGCUAUUGCUGGGCCGUUGGGCCUGGAUUAGAACCUGAGCUGGACCAGAACUUUGGGCUUGUGUCCUGCUAGCGGCCCAGGGAGGUCCAUGGAGAAGGGAGCAGGGGAUCCAUGGGGCGGACACCCGCGGACACGGCGGUGGCGCCAGGCUCACUAAGACCAGAAGCAGGACCUGGAGGCCGUGCUGAGCUGUAGACGUCAGACUCAAUGCCCUGUGGGGGGCAGAAGCAGCCAGGCACUGCGGUCUGUUCUCAGGACCAUGCUCCGGAUUUUUGGCAUUUUCUUGAUAACACAAUUGUGUCAUUCGGAAGCUCAACAAUGCGACCCAGGCGAAUAUGAAAUAAAUGGUGAAUGCUGUCCCAUGUGCAGCGCUGGGAGCAGGGUGGUCAAACACUGUAAACCAAGUAGCAGCACAACUUGCAUGCCCUGUGUGGACGACACGUAUACAGAGCAUCCCAAUGGCCUAACAGAGUGCAUGAGAUGUAAAGUCUGUGAUGCAGGAGCCAGAUUGAUGGCAAGAGAAAAAUGCACAUAUACAAAGAACACCGUGUGUGGCUGCGCCCCGGGCGAUUUCUGCAGGCAUGGUGCAGGCGGGGACUGUGAAAUGUGUAGUGCCUCCACCAUCUGCCUCCCUGGCUCUAAGGUGAAAAUACUUGGCACAGAAUUCAAUGACAAUGUAUGUGAGGUUUGCCCUGAUGGAACCUUCUCAGCAACCAACAUGUCACACACCUGUCAGCCAUGGACCAAGUGUGAAGAGGAAGGGAUGACAGAAGGAAAGGCCGGGACAGCCACUUCUGAUGCAGUUUGUAUACAAAGAGGCCUUUCUGAUACAGCGAAGACAUUGAUAAUUAUCAUUUUAGUUUUAAUUGUAUGUGGAGCACUUGCAGUAGUGCCUUUUUGGUGGAAGAAGAGGAGGAAAUAUGGGGUUACACCUGCACAGGAGACAGGGGAUGAGUCAAAAGAACAGAUUGGGAGAACUUUGAUCCAGCUUACAGAGAAUGGGACAGAGAACAUUCCUUCUUAGGAACAAACCAAGACAAGAGCAAAGCGGGGGAGAAAGAAAGCCAUUGUCAGCCCUGCCUCUGUGAUUGGAUUGGAGGCUUCUGAAAAUCCCUCUUCACUGAAUUUCAGCGAUCAUCAUCAAUGUAACUUUAGUUUCUCUGGCUAAGGCCUGUUAUGCUGAAGGCUUCCUCACGGACACAUUGUUAGGUGGAAUAUCUGCAGACUCUGGGCUCUUGGGGUAUGUCUCCACUUGCCAUUUAAAGCACAAAAAGUCCCUGUUUUGCACAAAAACUGUGGGAGCGUCUACACUUGACAGACGUUUCAAUGCAAACAGCAAACCACUUCGAUGAGAGGCCUACAGUUCUUAAAUGCUGAUCCCUUUGUAGUGAUGUGCAAGUGGAGGCACAUUCUUCCUGUGUAAACAGCUUUUAGCUUCCAGAGGAUAUCCCACAGUGCCUAGGGCGAUCACUCUGGCCAGUAGUUCUGCUGCUCCAAGGCCAGGUAAACAGAUAUCUGCCCUCCCCCCUUGGGAACUUUGAAACUCCCCUUCCUGUUUUGUUUGCAAGUGCUCAUCUGGCCAAAUGACCAUGGGUGCUCCAUACAGCAAAUGACCCACUGUUGGGACCUUGCACUCACACCUGCUUCCCACAAGACCUAUUCUGGGAUAGCUGCCUGCAGUGUGCAAAUGUAAACACUUUCUGACCCUGUGGAAGUAACUUGGUACAGAAGCCUGGGCUUUUCUUUCAUCGGUUCCCUAUCACGAUGAAACUGAUAGCACAAAAACUCAAGUGUAGAUGUAGCCUGGGUUUCAUUCAGUAAUUACACUUAAACCUCCAUUUAUUCAUUGCAAUGUUUGAAAGUUCCCACUCACAUAUCACGCUGGACUUUCUAGCCACAAACACUUCCUGGUAUCCAGGAAUCUCUACUGGACCAGUUGCUCUUUUGACUAUAUUGGACCAGGUGGCCAUGUAAUCAAAGUGGUUUUUAUACAUAGCUUUAGUUUUAUAACAGGGCAAUAGAGAGUGAGAACUGAAAUGUUGUAUUGCUCAAUAUCACAUCUUACAUUCUACCUGCACGUUUACUGUCUCUUGUUAAUCAGAUUUGCUUUGAACCUUCUCUAUGGGUAAAAUAAAAUCCCAGGUAAGAAGUAUGGUUGGAAAUAAAGCUAAACGUUUUUAUAGUGAAGGUCGGAGGGUGGACUGCACCAUUUUGCUACCCGCAGUCAAAGGGCUGGACAAUCUAGGUAUCGAUUUUGUGGUGCAUAUGAAAGAAGAUAGUGAAGUCACAUUCACCCCAGAGCAUCUGUCCUGUCAGUGGGGAGAACAGGGGCUUUGAAGCUUCAUUCAUUAAUAUAUUUAAGCACGACUGUGCUUGGAUGAGGGGCAGUACAAGAGAGAAAAGCAGCAUGAUGAUGAUUCUGUGGCAUGGUGGAGGUGGGUCUUGCGCAGGGAUUUGAAGGAGAGUGCAGUGGCCUUUUUGAUUAGUCUGGAGCGAUGAACCAGGCAUAAGUGAGCCGCGGAAGAAAGGGCCAAGGUGCUUGUGGGAGAGGCAGAUGAAUGGGUGAUGGAGGCUGCCAUUGUGGGAGGCCUGGGGGUGCUGGGGCCGAUGCAGUAAGAUCCAGGAGCAGACAAGUAGGGAAAGGCUGCAUUAUGAGGAGUCUUAAAGACAGGAAAGGGACACGCUUGUGUUCUGUAGAGUGCAGAAGGGUGAGGCUGCAUUAACAACAAUAUAUGUUAACCCUUGAGGGCUCAGCCAAGUGCCAGUUCAUUUAGCAGCAAGGCAUUCCCUGGGAAAUAUCCCACAUCUUCCACCCUCUGACUUCACCCCCUCUACCACACUUCACCAUCAUCAUUGCUAUGUAUAUGGUAUUAAAUUGUUUAAACUUAUGCUGUA